UACGGGGGGGGCAAGCGUUGUUCGGAAUUACUGGGCGUAAAGGGUUCGUAGGUGGCUUGCUCAGUCAGACGUGAAAUCCCUCAGCUCAACUGAGGAAGUGCGCCCGAAACUGCAGAGCUUGAGUACCGGAGAGGAUGGCGGAAUUCCCCAAGUAGAGGUGAAAUUCGUAGAUAUGGGGAGGAACACCGGUGGCGAAGGCGGCCAUCUGGACGGAUACUGACGCUGAGACGCGAAAGCGUGGGGAGCAAACAGG
rnacentral:rRNA from 1 species